GGGGAGUUGCUCAUGAUUUGUGCAGACAAAGGAGGACACCGACCACGCUCCCUUCCCGGGAAGCACACGCUGAGUAUCAGACCAUGUGCCGCCACAAGCAGAAAUGAGCUGAUGGGUAGAAGAGACUGGGUCCUUGCUUUGCCUCACUGUGGCUCCUGGCUCUCAGCAUGCCUCAGGCUCCACGGCAUCUGCACUGACCCGUGAUCCGGGAUAAACGGGAAGACGGCGAUGUUUCUAAGUUUGGUAGUUUUCUUUUUAAGCCUACAUUCUCUUUCCCAUUAAAGUGGCUGGUUUUAUCUAA
rnacentral:lncRNA from 1 species